AUAAUUUUUUAACUCCUAGUAAUGAUCAGCUACUUCAGAGAUGACUCUUUUCUGGCAGAGAUCUCACAUAAAAGAAACAUAAAGUUUGUCAAAAUUUGGUGAUACAAUUGAUCCUGCUUAGUUAGUUAAUCAUUUCUCACUAUCGGAAAAGCUGAAUCACAAUCUUAAAUGUUAAUGCUUCUGGUUGGUGUGCCAACUGGCCAAGCUACGCCCAUAUAACUCUGAAUAAAUCCUAGUUCACAGCCACCUUUGCUCAAAAGGGUCACAUGCUGAAGCUUUGGGGUCAUUCACAGGGAGGUAUGCAGGAAAUCUGGAACCCUGAGAUAAAAUCUUGGAUUGGGAGGGGAUAGAAUAUCUGGGAGGAAAAAGGGAUAGAUAAACAAGCAUUAUGGUUUCCACUGUUUGAAGAGUGAUUUCUUACUAUGGUGAAUUGUCAUAUGGAGCAAGCCUAGAGAAAUGUAAUUUAAAACUUGUCACAAUUUCUUUUUCUCAGCUAGCAAGAGGUUUUAUGGUUAUGUAGGCAGGCACCUAACUGAUUGUGCUUCUAAGAAAUUCCAUGAACAGGAUUGUGAAGUCAGGAUACUGCAGAUAUCAUGCAUCAGCAUUUCAAAGACAAUAUCCCUCCAGAAGGAGCACAGUAUCCCUCCAGAAAGAAGCUUUCUCCUGACAUCAAGAACAAAGUUUUCAUUUUAGCCAGCAAAGAUGUACAUUCUAUUACCACACAACUAUAGGGGAAAACACAUCCCUCUAGAAGCUGGAAAUUGAAGAUGCAGAGGAAUUCCUAGAUGGGACGUACUUGAGACUGUGUCACUUGACUUUCAAGAUUAUUAAAGAAUCACAGUUCUUCAGGAUGCCUGAUUUUGAUGGAAAACUCUUCUGCACUCAUACGAAUUCAUGUAUUGUGGAAAGUGGUUUCAAGCAAAGUUCUAUGGUACAACUUUAAAUUACACUUUUGCUGUGAAGUAACAGCCUCUUUCCUAGAGACUUCUCCCCAAAAAACUCCAUCAUUCUAGGGAAGGACUUUGAAACUGGAGUGAGGAACUUGUCACGCUUAGAAAAGAGAUCUCCAGCCUGCUCCUUUACAGAGUGAGAAAAUCAAGGAAUAUCUAACAACCAUUCAAGAGAAUAAUAGAGAAAACUCAUGGAGCUGCACAACAGUUUUUUUUGCAGCAAGCCUCAUUCUGCAGCAACAGCAGCAAUUCCAGGACCUUCUGGUCCAGAGGCGUGCCAGCCUACACAACAUGCAGAACUUGCUGUCAAUCCAAGCCCUGUACUAUCAAAGCCAGGCUCUGAUGAUGACUCAAAAGCAUAUCUAUCUGCAUUCAGAUAAGUUACUAUGGCAACCUCUCUGGCCUAAAAAGAGAUGGACCACAUUAGUUACUUAGCAGCACCUUUUUGACAGGCGAAACACAAGCUGCUCAUUCCAGAUGAUGGUUUGAUUUAGAAUUAAGUCUGUCUGAGAGCUGCUGUGGAGUUCUCUGAAGUGUUAAUGCUGUAACGCAGAGAGAUCUUCUUUUGGGACUUCAGACUGUGGCGUAUCACUAAAGGGACUGAGCUAUAUGGUGGCUUUGCCUGAGAAACACAAGUUAACAGAACAGUUGACAAUCUUUUUCCUACAUUCUGAAGAGAUACUUUCUGAAGAUCUUCUAAGAUGGGUCUGCUGGGCUAAGAAGGCCACUCUUGCAGAAGAUGUGUAGGAUACAAAGGAUUACUUGAGUUGCUGCUGGCACAAAACAUCUUCUAGAUUGAAGCACAUAUUCAAAGUACAAUUAUUAAACCCCGGAAAAGUGAGAGCUCCCAUGACUGAUAGGAAGUUCUAACAGAAAUGCGUGCAUUCCAAAGGAAAAACUUCAUGGCUACAAGGGCUCUUUAAGUUUUGGAUUAGGGAAUGAAGACUUCCAGAGAGGAAAAUGGACCCCUCUACUCAAUGUAUCAAGACUAAAAAGAGAAAAAGUUGGACACAUUACCCAUGAUCAUAUUCCACUAUCAGGGGAUGUGUGGUUAAAAAACAAACACACAAACAAACAAACAAACAAAUAAAUAAAGUGCACACAUAGUCUGAAGCAGGAGAAAAAUAUGGAGCCAGGACAAUAACAUACCGAGCAACUUCUAUGGACUUGGGAAGUACUUAGCUCCCUAACUAGGAAAACUUUUUCACCCCAGAAAUGGUGGAAAUAGUCUUACUUAAAGAGUGUUCAGAAGGCCACAUAGAUGUCACACAGCUAUACUGUUUUAAGUCUAUGGCAGAACGCUUGAUUGAAUAACUAAAAUGCUAUCUUAAAAUACUAGUUGCUUGAGUAAUGAAGCCCUGGUAAUCCACAGAAAGUGAGGAAGGUUUUGAAAUUAUAUGUUGCUUCCAACAUCUGCGAACCAAGAUAGGUAAAUCUGGCGUCAGACCAGACUGUGCCCAUAAUCGGAGGCAAACAAAUGAAGCAACCAAUAAAUAAGCAGAACCAGUGGCUGGAAAAAGCACCCUGUUUAUCACAACAGUAGUCCAUCCACAUCAGUACUGUUUCCUGUACAGCAGUGUCCACUACCAGAAACAACCAUAAAACAAGUAGGCCUAACAGAUCUUUACUAAACUUUACAAACUACAAGCCUCAAAGCAUGAGAGAAAUGUAAUUUUCAGCUUUUCCACUGAUUCAUUGAUCUCCAUUCUAUUUCUUUGAUAAAAGGGAGAGUAAAUAGGGACACAAAUAUUUAUUUAUGACUUUGCAUUCAUGUUUGUGCUAUAUCAUAUGGUUCUUCCCUUGGAUGGUAGUAUGUGGAUUUUUCCCCCUAGUGGUAAUAAGUCAUCAGCCCGGCAAACCCUUUGUUUCUACAGUAUACUUUCUGUGAUAGUCCUGCACCUUCAGGAACUUUUGGAUCCCCUAAGUUCCAAUUGCAACCAUUUCUGCAGUGGUCCUAAGUCUAUUCUGUUGUCAGCAUAGAUGUAAACGCACACCAGAAAAAUAGAGGAAGAAGGGGUUGGGGAUGCCCCAUCCCUGGAGGUGUUCAAGGCUAGGUUGGAUGGGGCCCUGGGCAGUCUGAUCUAGUAUUAGAUGUGGAGGUUGGCGGCCCUGCCUGCGGCACAGGGGUUGGACCUUGAUGAUCCUUUAGGUCCCUUCCAACCAAAGCCAUUCUACAAUUCUGUGAAGACAGGAAGGAUUGUAUUUCUCAGCGUGUUGAAAGGCAGGCAAAAGUACAGGCGGAAUUGUCACCAGAUUUGACUAAGGUACAUUUCUGUCCCAUUAGGAUACUGUGAUUCAGUGUUUCGGGUGUUGCAUAUUGUGUUGCCUUGCACCUACUGAACUAAGAAAACUUCUAUAUCGUGCUUUCUUUUACAUCAAUUCUAUUUCUCAAGUCUGUUGUAAAUUAUUUUUUAUCUCAAAUCUUAUUUCUCCAUACUCUAUGCUUUUCUCCCCUCCCCCCCCCUUUUUUCUUUUUAUGUAGGUUUUUCCUCUUUUUUUUCCCCCUAAAGUGUUUUGCUUAUUGUUGUUCUUUUUGACUUCAAAUAUUCAGCUUUCUGGGGCGUUUGUCUUUUUGGAAGAGAAAACCAACCAGGUAUUCCUUAUGAGCCCACCUUCUUAUUCAUAAGAAAUAUAAUACACACUCCUAUUAUAAAGUGUGACAGUGAAAUCCUAACCUACCUCUUCCAGCUCAGGGUAUUCUGUGAUUCUAUGAACUGCUUGUGAUACUGCAUUCGUAAAGCAAUGAUGAGGUAUUUUGGGGAUGGACUACUUGGCCGCUGCUACCCCUAUCUUUGGCCAUUUAUUGCCACCUUCUCAGCCCCGAGAAAAACGUUAGGGCAGGAAUAAAAGCUAAGGGAACAGGUGUGAGCAACGUGCCCUCAUCACUUCAAGGAGGCUGACCGGGAGUGAAAAAAAAAAAAAAAAA